rnacentral:tRNA from 1 species
GGUUCGAUGGUGUAGUUGGUUAUCACGCUUGCCUCACAUCCGAAAGAUGUCAGGUCGCAAGAGGUCUCCGGUUCGAACCCGGGUCGAAUCA